CCGUGGGCUGAUGCCCACGGCUAAAUGCUUCCGCCGCUUCGCGGCU
rnacentral:sRNA from 1 species